AGCUAGAAGAAAACAUUUUUAGUUUAACCUGCCCAAUGUUAAAGAAUUAAUGGCCGCGGUACCCUGACCGUGCUAAGGUAGCGUAAUCAGUUGGCUUUUAAAUGGAGUCAGGAAUGAAUGGGAUAACCUGGUUUAGCUGUCUCCUAACUAUUUAGUUAAAUUUACUGACUAAGUGAAAAAGCUUGGAGGUUGAAAAGGGACGAGAAGACCCUUAGAAUUUUAUUUAAAAUAAAUGUUAAUAUCAUUUAGUUGUUUUGUUGGGGUGACAUGGGAAUAAAUAUUAACUUUCCGUUAAAAAAAUAAGACAAGUAUAAUAAGAGAGGAUAAAUUACCUAAGGGAUAACAGCAUAAUUCUAUAAAUGAGUUUGUGACCUCGAUGUUGGACUAGGAAACUAAUAAAUUAGCCUUUAUUGUGUUGGUUCGUUCAACUAAAUUCU
rnacentral:rRNA from 1 species